GAUGAACGCUGGCGGCGUGCCUAAUACAUGCAAGUCGAGCGAACAGACGAGGAGCUUGCUCCUCUGACGUUAGCGGCGGACGGGUGAGUAACACGUGGAUAACCUACCUAUAAGACUGGGAUAACUUCGGGAAACCGGAGCUAAUACCGGAUAAUAUAUUGAACCGCAUGGUUCAAUAGUGAAAGACGGGUUUGCUGUCACUUAUAGAUGGAUCCGCGCCGCAUUAGCUAGUUGGUAAGGUAACGGCUUACCAAGGCAACGAUGCGUAGCCGACCUGAGAGGGUGAUCGGCCAAACUGGAACUGAGACACGGUCCAGACUCCUACGGGAGGCAGCAGUAGGGAAUCUUCCGCAAUGGGCGAAAGCCUGACGGAGCAACGCCGCGUGAGUGAUGAAGGUCUUCGGAUCGUAAAACUCUGUCAUUAGGGAAGAACAAAUGUGUAAGUAACUAUGCACGUCUUGACGGUACCUAAUCAGAAAGCCACGGCUAACUACGUG
rnacentral:rRNA from 1 species